UCUUCACUGUCAUACUGCCCGUGUAUCUUGAGUGGUUGUGUUUUCGCUAUCGAGCAAAAUGUCUCAGGUGUAUGAAAACAUCUUUCGUGACGCUCUGAAAGAUUUCAGAGGAUGGCUUGAUUUCAGGCUAUUGUAAUUCGUUGGAGGAGGUAAAACAAAGCAUUUCUUCAAGCAAAUGCAGGAACAUGUCCCUAUCCCCUUUUUUGGUUGUGCAUUUGCAGUGGAGAGUGUGUGGUCAAGGCACUGUGUUUUGGGGCCGAAAUACUAUAAAAGUAAAGAGUCUAGUGUACCUGAGCACUUGGUAAUAUCAUGCUGUGUUAAGAUAGACUUACUUUCCAUAAAACAAGUUCGUUACAGGGAAAGUUUAUUAAAUAAAUUUUAUAGUAGUUCUUUACCCUCUUUAGGAAGACCAUGUGACUCCUCGUAAGAGAUUGAGGAUCAUGGAUACUGGAAAAUCCAACUGCCCAACAACUUUAAAUAUGAAGUGUAUAAGGGUGUAUCCUGAUUACAGUAUGCACUCAGCAACUGAACACAGGGAUACCAAGGCAAAAGUUCUUGCAAGUCUACAGAAAGAUUUGGCAUUGCCAUGCCCGCCGAAGGGCUACCUACGUUAUUAUUUGACUGCUUCUCCAGCAAGUGCGCACACACACAUGCUACUGAAAGUGUUGAAGCAAGUGGGUACAUACAUCCUUCACUUGUAAAGGAAAUCAAAAACUUAGUAACUCAGUGGAAUGACAUCUCUCAAAGUCAUUAAGUUGGCUCUAGAUAGAUUUGUUGAAAUCAAUUUCAUUGGGACACACAUACCAGGUCAAAUGAAUACUACCUUUUACCCCACAGAGAAAACUAUUUACAGUCACAUUUAUCGGACCCUUUAUAGUACGAAUAAAGUAUUGUUUGACGAGACUAGACUGCAGAAUCAGGUUGAUGAGUGGCACAAAGACUCGAGCAAUCACAUGAUUUAUUAUAGGCAUUGUAUGGAAGCCAAUGGAGAAGUGAAACCAUUACUUUUUUGCUAUCAGAGCAGUUGGCAGAGAGAUCUUUUGAAGAAGUAUGGGGGUAGUUGUUUGUUAGAUGCAACAUACAAAACAUCAUAUGAUAUUCCUUUAUUUUUUAUAGCUGUGAAGAGUAAUGUGGGCUAUUUGGUUGUCGGUUUUUUUCAUUCAGAUUGAAAAUGCAAGAUCCAUUCAUGAAGCACUAGACAUUUUCAAGGACUGGAACAAGGAUUGGAAUCCCCUCUAUUGGGUUACCGAUUUCUCGGAGUCGGAGAUAAAUGCAAUUGAGCAAGCAUUCCCUCAGACAAAAGUUUACUUGUGCCUUUUCCAUCCAAAACAGGCAUGGGGAAGAUGGUUGAAAAAAAGGAUAAUCUACGUGUACCAAAUGACAUGAAGAGAUUUCUGGACAUGUGGCAAGAAAUUUCAGAAUCAUCAACAGAGAGAGAAUUUAGAGAUCACGUAGAAGAGUUGCGAACGCACGAGGUUUCUCGGAGAAACGAGCGUGCGUGGCCAUACUUUCAACAGCAGUGGCUAACGGUAUGUGAAAGAUGGGUGAAAGCGUAUGAGGACAAGGGCAGAUUUGCAACCAUUGACACUACAAAUGGAGUUGAAGCCAUGAACAAGGUUGUAAAACAUUUUUUCCUUAAACACAAUUCAGACAGGACUUUAACUGGGGUUACUAAGGUUAUAAUAAACCAGUUUCUUCCAAGCCUAAUUAGAAAGUACUGUCUGCAGAAUUCUGCCAUCAAAGCUUAUAACAAAGAUGUUCCACUGUUUUUGCAUAAAAAACAAACAAGUUUGUGAAACAUGUCAUGCAGCGAUAUGAAUCAGCGAAAGUUGAGUUAACUGCAAAAUCAGUGAGUGGGAGAUUGGAUGGUUCAUUUUGUGUGGAGAGUGCAAAGUCCAAAAAGUGUAGUUAUGUUGUAAACUUUGAUAUACCAGAUUGCACAUGUGUAGAUUUUCGGAGAUAUAAAUACCCAUGCAAGCACUUCUGUGCAAUCUUUAUUUUUUACCCAGAGUGGGGUUUUGAUAAAAUGCCAGAAAGUUAUGAGACUAGUCCAUUAAUCUGUCUUGAUGAAAUGUAUGGUGUGGGCUUUAGAAGUGGCUCUUUAGUAAUUUCAUGCGAAGGUAGUAGUACUGAUGAAGCAGCUGAGGAGGCUGUCAAGGCAGCAAAUACAGAUGGUCUUGUUCAAACCCAGAAUAUUUCUUCGCAGCAGUUUGAAGCGAGGGAGCUGUGUAAACAGAUUUAUAAUCUCACAUACAACUGCAGCAACAGCGAAACAUUACAAAAAGUACUUGAAUCACUGAGCAACUGUGUGCAAGAUUUGCAAUUAGCAAAUCCUGAAGUUGGUGGUCUCCCAUUAGUAGUGCCAUCAACUUCCAAACAAUAGUGAAGAACGAUGCCAAAAGCCUUAAGAGAUCUGUCUUAAACACAUUAUAACUUUCCAUUUGAAGGGUAAGAAAUGAUGGUUUAUUUGGAUUUUAGAUAGCUCUUUGUCUAUGUAAAAUACGAAUAAGCUCCGUCAUUUCUGAUCCUCGAGAUGGAAUGCUAUGAGGUCUUUAUGUUGGUCUCUGCUUUUAAACUUUGUUGCACAUUUGAAUUUCGAAGUAGCAAUAGAUAAAAUAUUAUAAAAAGGAUAGUUGCUACAUUUGUGUGUGUGUGUGUGUGUGUG